UGUGUAGAGUUUAGUUGAUGAUCAGUGUCAUUCACACACAUAUUACUUGUAAGAAUCCAUGUGAAGGUAAAAUUACAUGUGAAGAUGGACGAGGUAUUCCUGUAGGAAUAUGCUGUAAUCCUUUAUUAAGCUCAGAUUGUCCAAAGAAUUAUAGUGUUUCAUUUUGUCAAAAGUUUUCCCCAAAAGGCAAGCAUCCAAGUAGUCUUACUACUUUCUUUUUUCAUCAAGAACUGAGUUAUUAUAAAUCUUAAUCUUUAUUUAUG